GUAAUAAUUGUAAAAGACCAAAUAUAGCAAUUGAAAAAUUAGAAAAUUGUGAUCAUGAAGUUUGUGCAUAUUGUAUUUAUAACAUUAACAAUUGGGGCCAUCAUUGUAUUCGUUGUUGGGCUGAAAAAAUUAAUAUUUCUUUAUGUUCAUCAGUCUUAUUUUUUAAUACAGAAGAUCGAAAAUCAUUAAUAAUUAAAAUUAUUUCAGUAUAUUCCUUGAGUUACAUUUCAAAUUGGGGAGAAAUAAUUCAAAAAUCGAGUUAAAGAAUAUAUUUUCACUGUGUUCAUUUGCAAAUAUUGAAAAUAAAUUUUUCAUCGAGGUUUAAAUUGCUCUUUUUUUUAAAGAAUAAAAAUCACAGUAGCUAUGGACAGCUUGAAAAAUAAAUUGAACCAACAAGCUGAAGUUAAAGGUUAUUUAAAACUCAGCGAUCUCAAAGAAAAAGAAAAAUAUGAAGUAAUAGCUAUGAAAAAUGUUAAUACAAGAAAUGGUACGGUGGUGGUUGCCCAACUCAUAGACAACAACCAUGUGUUUAUACCAAGAAUAAAAUUAACAGAUGAAGAAAUUAACGAAUACAAUAAUAAUAAUAAAAAAAUAUUCUUAAAAUAUAAUGGCAAAAUCGGAAAUGCUUACAUAUUUGAUUU